UACGAAGGGAGCUAGCGUUGUUCGGACUUACUGGGCGUAAAGGGCGCGUAGGCGGCUCAGCAAGUUGGAUGUGAACGCCCAGGGCUCAACCCUGGAAUAGCAUUCAAGACUGCUUUGCUUGAAUUCGGUAGAGGUUGGUGGAAUUCCCAGUGUAGAGGUGAAAUUCGUAGAGAUUGGGAAGAACACCCGUGGCGAAGGAGGCCAACUGGACCGACAUUGACGCUGAGGCGCGAAAGCGUGGGGAUCAAACAGG
rnacentral:rRNA from 1 species